rnacentral:rRNA from 1 species
CAGGACGAACGCUGGCGGCGUGCUUAACACAUGCAAGUCGAGCGGUAAGGCCCUUUCGGGGGUACACGAGCGGCGAACGGGUGAGUAACACGUGGGUGACCUGCCCUCAGCUCUGGGAUAAGCCUGGGAAACUGGGUCUAAUACUGGAUAUGACUCCACGGUGCAUGUCGUGGGGUGGAAAGCCUUGUGCGGCUGAGGAUGGGCCCGCGGCCUAUCAGCUUGUUGGUGGGGGAUGGCCUACCAAGGCGACGACGGGUAGCCGGCCUGAGAGGGCGACCGGCCACACUGGGACUGAGACACGGCCCAGACUCCUACGGGAGGCAGCAGUGGGGAAUCUUGCGCAAUGGGCGAAAGCCUGACGCAGCGACGCCGCGUGAGGGAUGACGGCCUGGU